rnacentral:rRNA from 1 species
GGUAGCCGACCUGAGAGGGUGACCGGCCACACUGGGACUGAGACACGGCCCAGACUCCUACGGNAGGCAGCANUGGGGAAUAUUGCACAAUGGGCGGAAGCCUGAUGCAGCGACGCCGCGUGAGGGAUGAAGGCCUUCGGGUUGUAAACCUCUUUCAGCAGGGACGAAGCGUGAGUGACGGUACCUGCAGAAGAAGCACCGGCUAACUACGUGCCAGCAGCCGCGGUAAUACGUAGGGUGCGAGCGUUGUCCGGAAUUACUGGGCGUAAAGAGUUCGUAGGCGGUUUGUCGCGUCGUUUGUGAAAACCCGGGGCUCAACUUCGGGCUUGCANGCGAUACGGGCAGACUUGAGUGUUUCAGGGGA